rnacentral:rRNA from 1 species
CACAGAAGCUUGCUUCUCUUGAGAGCGGCGGACGGGUGAGUAAAGCCUAGGAAUCUGCCUGGUAGUGGGGGAUAACGUUCGGAAACGGACGCUAAUACCGCAUACGUCCUACGGGAGAAAGCAGGGGACCUUCGGGCCUUGCGCUAUCAGAUGAGCCUAGGUCGGAUUAGCUAGUUGGUGAGGUAAUGGCUCACCAAGGCGACGAUCCGUAACUGGUCUGAGAGGAUGAUCAGUCACACUGGAACUGAGACACGGUCCAGACUCCUACGGGAGGCAGCAGUGGGGAAUAUUGGACAAUGGGCGAAAGCCUGAUCCAGCCAUGCCGCGUGUGUGAAGAAGGUCUUCGGAUUGUAAAGCACU